rnacentral:rRNA from 1 species
GAUGAACGCUGGCGGCGUGCCUAAUACAUGCGAGUCGAGCGAACAGACGAGGAGCUUGCUCCUCUGACGUUAGCGGCGGACGGGUGAGUAACACGUGGAUAACCUACCUAUAAGACUGGGAUAACUUCGGGAAACCGGAGCUAAUACCGGAUAAUAUAUUGAACCGCAUGGUUCAAUAGUGAAAGACGGUUUUGCUGUCACUUAUAGAUGGAUCCGCGCUGCAUUAGCUAGUUGGUAAGGUAACGGCUUACCAAGGCAACGAUGCGUAGCCGACCUGAGAGGGUGAUCGGCCACACUGGAACUGAGACACGGUCCAGACUCCUACGGGAGGCAGCAGUAGGGAAUCUUCCGCAAUGGGCGAAAGCCUGACGGAGCAACGCCGCGUGAGUGAUGAAGGUCUUCGGAUCGUAAAACUCUGUUAUUAGGGAAGAACAAAUGUGUAAGUAACUAUGCACGUCUUGACGGUACCUAAUCAGAAAGCCACGGCCAACUACGUG